UACGUAGGGGGCAAGCGUUGUCCGGAAUUAUUGGGCGUAAAGCGCGCGCAGGUGGUUUCUUAAGUCUGAUGUGGAAGCCCACGGCUCAACCGUGGAGGGUCAUUGGAAACUGGGGAACUUGAGUGCAGAAGAGGAAAGUGGAAUUCCAAGUGUAGCGGUGAAAUGCGUAGAGAUUUGGAGGAACACCAGUGGCGAAGGCGGCUACCUGGACGGUAACUGACGCUGAGACGCGAAAGCGUGGGUAGCAAACAGG
rnacentral:rRNA from 1 species